rnacentral:rRNA from 1 species
GAGUGAACGCUGGCGGUAGGCCUACCACAUGCAAGUCGAACGGCAGCACAGUAAGAGCUUGCUCUUACGGGUGGCGAGUGGCGGACGGGUGAGGAAUACAUCGGAAUCUACUUUUUCGUGGGGGAUAACGUAGGGAAACUUACGCUAAUACCGCAUACGACCUACGGGUGAAAGCAGGGGAUCUUCGGACCUUGCGCGAUUGAAUGAGCCGAUGUCGGAUUAGCUAGUUGGCGGGGUAAAGGCCCACCAAGGCGACGAUCCGUAGCUGGUCUGAGAGGAUGAUCAGCCACACUGGGACUGAGACACGGUCCAGACUCCUACGGGAGGCAGCAGUGGGGAAUAUUGGACAAUGGGCGCAAGCCUGAUCCAGCCAUACCGCGUGGGUGAAGAAGGCCUUCGGGUUGUAAAGCCCUUUUGUUGGGAAAGAAAAGCAGCAGGUUAAUACCCCGCUGUUCUGACGGUACCCAAAGAAUAAGCACCGGCUAACUUCGUG